GCCGUUCUAGUAUAGUGGUUAGUACAGCUCGUUGUGGCCGAGCAGACCCAGGUUCGAUUCCCGGGAACGGCA
rnacentral:tRNA from 2 species